GGGCUUGUGGUUUAGUGGUAUAAUACUCCCUUAGCACGUGAUGGUUUACAGCCAUCUAUAUCGAUGAUGACGUUUCUGUUAUCUCAGAUAGAACCCGCUUGGGAGUGGUCCGGGGUUCGAUUCCCCGCGAGUCCA
rnacentral:tRNA from 1 species